rnacentral:tRNA from 1 species
GCGCCGGUAGCUCAGUAGGAUAGAGCACGUGCCUUCUAAGCUCGGGGUCAGGGGUUCGAAUCCCUUCCGGCGUGCCA